rnacentral:pre_miRNA from 1 species
GAUGUACUCCCUCCGUUCGGAAUUACUUAUCAUAGAAAUGGAUGUAUCUAGAUGUAUUUUAGUUCUAGAUACAUCCAUUUCCAAGACAAGUAAUUCUGAACGGAGGGAGUACAUA